UACGUAGGGGGCUAGCGUUAUCCGGAUUUACUGGGCGUAAAGGGUGCGUAGGCGGUCUUUCAAGUCAGGAGUGAAAGGCUACGGCUCAACCGUAGUAAGCUCUUGAAACUGUAAGACUUGAGUGCAGGAGAGGAGAGUGGAAUUCCUAGUGUAGCGGUGAAAUGCGUAGAUAUCGGGAGGAACACCAGUGGCGAAGGCGGGUAACUGGACUGCAACUGACGCUGAGGCGCGAAGGUGUGGGGAGCAAACAGGAUUAGAUAUCCCGGUAGUCCCU
rnacentral:rRNA from 1 species